CCCUUAGACGUUCUGGGCCGCACGCGCGCUACACUGACGAAGGCAACGAGCUUUCCUUUACCGAAAGGUACGGGUAAUCUUUUGAAACUUCGUCGUGCUGGGGAUAGAUCCUUGCAAUUUUUGAUCUUAAACGAGGAAUGCCUAGUAAGCGCAAGUCAUCAACUUGCGUUGAUUACGUCCCUGCCCUUUGUACACACCGCCCGUCGCUCCUACCGAUUGGGUGUGCUGGUGAAAUGUUCGGAUCGGCCGUUUGUCGCGGUUUCCGCGUCAUGUGGCUGAGAAGUUCAUUAAACCCUCCCACCUAGAGGAAGGAGAAGUCGUAACA
rnacentral:rRNA from 1 species